rnacentral:lncRNA from 1 species
CCACCUACUGGUUACCUGCAUAUCAAAUGAGUCAUGAGUAACUAGUUUACUCAGUGAGUCUAAUCCCACACCCAAACACAUAUCAAUAGUAUCCCGAUCAAGCGACACCAUUUGAAUGCUGUGGAAUUAUAUUCCAUAAUUAAUAUAAUUAUAAGGCCUCUCAAUCCAUCCAUGUGAAUCUAUCUUAAACAUCACCUCCACGAUACCCGCCAAUCACUCACUCUUAAUAUAUAUAUAUAUAUAUGCUAAACCCGGAAAACCACCAAGGCUAACCGAGCUUAACGGGGAAUAAAUAUAACCAUCAUCUCCAUCAGAUAUUCCAAGAUAGAACAUCCAACGCUGCAUGCAGUUACACGGUCUCCAGGGUGCGACCCCAUCAUCGUGUCUUCAUGACCUUGAUCCAUAUCGCAGGACCAAUUCACGGCAAUGCGGGACUUUCGGGAGAGUGAGUAUACAAUAAGACUUCACAUGAUUCAUACUUAUUCAUAGAAUAAUAUAGAUUAGUACUUGAGAACAAGUACUAAGGCUCGGGAUAACCUCAAAGAAUUAUUCUUAUUAAUUCUUAAGUAUUUAAACUAGAUAAAUACUUAAUAUAUAAAUAUAGAUCAAGGGAUAAUACUUAAUCAAUCAACCAUAAUUACUCCUUAAUUAAUCCAUAAUUAAUCCUUAAUUAAUCAAUGAUUAUCCUUUAAUUAAUUCAUGAUUAAUUCUUAAUUAAUCAACCAUAUUCAUAUGCAAUCAUGCAUACUCAUUCAUAAUUCAUUCAUCAUCUAUCUAGACUCACCUUUAAAUCCAUGAGAUUGGCUAAGGAAGACUAGACUCGAGCUCAAGCUAAUCACACUUCACUUCUGGAUCACUCUCGGUUCAGAACCAUCACAAGGAUCCGGCUGAUCCGAAUACUCUCCUUGGCCAUCGGUUUUACUCAACUAAUUAAACUUGACUGGUUGUCUCUCUUCAAGCUAACCACGAAUUAACCGAUCAAAAUCAAAGGCUGAAGAACAUGGGUG